rnacentral:rRNA from 1 species
GACGAACGCUGGCGGCGUGCCUAAUACAUGCAAGUAGAACGCUGAAGAGAGGAGCUUGCUCUUCUUGGAUGAGUUGCGGACGGGUGAGUAACGCGUAGGUAACCUGCCUUGUAGCGGGGGGUCACUAUUGGAAACGAUAGCUAAUAUCGCAUCACAAUGGGUGACACAUGUAAUUUAUUUGCAAGGGGCAAUUGCUCCACUACAAGAUGGACCUGCGUUGUAUUAGCUAGUAGGUGAGGUAAUGGCUCACCUAGGCGUAGAUACAUAGCCGACCUGAGAGGGUGGUCGGCCAACCUGGGACUGAGACACGGCCCAGACGCCUACGGGAGGCAGCAGGAGGGAAACUUCGGCAAUGGGGGCAACCCUGACCGAACAACGCCGGGGGGGGGGAGAAGGGUCUCGGAUCGGAAAGCUCUGUUGUAAGUCAAGAACGGGUGUGAGAGUGGAAAGUUCACACUGUGACGGUAGCUUACCAGAAAGGGACGGCUAACUACGUG